rnacentral:lncRNA from 1 species
UCCGACCCAACAGACUUUAUAAGCAGCGACUCUUGCUCGUGGAGCCAUCCCUCGAGCCGUCCCAUAAGCAAAGCCAAAAAGAUUUGCUCCUCUAACAGGUGAGCCAGCUACUGUGGCUGCAGUGUGUGUCCCGUGACCGUCUUUGUCUCUUGGUGAUCUGUAUUCGACCUCUUCAUCGAUCUUCCCCGUUGCAGCUUCAUAACCUUUAUAGAAAACUCUAGCUCCAACGAUUUUUCUGUUGCAGUUACGCCUCAAGAACCUUUUUCCGGUUUCACAGGCUCCUCUCCAGGUAGAAGGAACAGGGGACAUGCCAGUGUCGUUGAAGCUCUCACUCUCAGGCCAAAUCCCAGUGUCCAAAACACCAACUACCACAUCAUGGUCAGUGACUCUCUCAGCCAAAACUCUCUCACUCUCUUGUCUCUCUAACCCAAGGAACGUGGGACUUCUCGUUGUGUGAAGCUCGUACCUUGUCUCAGGAAUCACAGAGACAACGCCAGCUUCUUCCUCGAGCCUCUCUGCUUCCUCUUCGCUAAGCCGAGCAGCUAAUCCGUGAAACGCAGUCUGGUAAGUGUAGAGUAUUCUGUUACCUUCUUCUUCUUCCUGCGAUUUGGGACCCGUUACAGAGUCUAUCUUGGACGAGUACCAUUGUAGGUGAUUAGUGUAAGGUAAUGGCAUCGCAGAUUUAUCCAUAUGGACAACGUAAGUCUUCUUUUGAGAGAUUUGACCAGUUUCUGCUUGAAGAACCAUGAGAUUGAUGGAUAAGAUGAUGAAAAGAAAGC